rnacentral:lncRNA from 1 species
CUUACUGAUUCUCCACUCUGCACCUUGGAGGUUGUAAGAGGGCCCCUACUGGGUCUCAAUGCCUGCUGGGAAGAGGAUUGGAUUUGCCAUCUUCCUGUCUCAGCUCGAGUCAUGAUCUCGAAACCCUUCCUUGAAGCCUCUUCUUCUGCCUCAUACUUGCCCCACAGCCCACCAACUUCCCUCCGGCCCAGAACCCACCACACCAUCAGAGGGUGGUCAGACUAGCUCCAUAAGUCUGGACAUCCUCACCCCAGCCUGGAGCAUUCCCUUCGAAUCACUGCAGCAUUAGAGUGAGGGACCAAGUCCCAGGGUGACUCAACGGACUGAGAUCAAGGCUGGCCCAUGAUUAUCUUGGGACUUUAAAAAAGGAAAAACGGACUAGAAAAGGGGAAAGCACAGCUACAAGGCAGCAUCAGGAAGUGAUAGCUGGAGAAGGAUCACAGCUUCAGAGGAGUCCAGCGUGGGGGUACGAAGCCUUUUGUUGGUGUCUCAAGUCUGUUUCUCAAGCUGCCAGCUAAGAAAAGAUGUAAGCAGAACAAGGCAUCAUCGGGUUCCUCGGGAUUUGGGACAAACCUUGACAAUAGCGCCUUUCAAAUUGAGUUAUCUACUCACUUGUCUGCCUCACCACUGAAUCAGGAGCUUCAAGGGGGCAGGGACUGUAAUUUUGGGGGGGGGGUGGUGAGGAAGAUUGGCCCUGAGCUAACGUCUGUGCCAAUCUUCCUCUAUUUUGUAUGUGGGACACUACCAUAUCAUGGCUUAAUGAGUGGUGUGUAGGUCCACACCCAAGAUCCAAAUCUGUGAACCCUGGGCCACUGAAGUGGAACACAUGAACUUAACCACUAUGCCACUAGUUGGCCCCAGGGACUGUAUGUUAUUCACUUUUUUCCCCAAUUUUUUUUAUUGUGGUAAAAUACAGAUAACAAAACUUAUCAUGUUAACCAUUUUUAAGUACACAGUUCGGUGUAUUAAAGACAUUUAUAAUAUUGUGUAGCCAUCACCACUAUCCAUCUCCAGAAGUCUUUUCACUUUGUAAAACUGAAACUCUAUACCCAUUAAACAAUAACGCCUCUUUACCCUCAUCCCCAGCCCCUGGCCACCACCAUUUUAGUUUGUCUCUACGACUUUGACAGCUCUAAGU